GAUCCUGGCUCAGGAUGAACGCUAGCUACAGGCUUAACACAUGCAAGUCGAGGGGCAGCGGGGAGUAGCAAUACUCCGCCGGCGACCGGCGCACGGGUGCGUAACGCGUAUGCAACCUACCUUUAACAGGGGCAUAACACUGAGAAAUUGGUACUAAUUCCCCAUAACAUUCGAGAAGGCAUCUUCUUGGGUUAAAAACUCCGGUGGUUAAAGAUGGGCAUGCGUUGUAUUAGCUAGUUGGUGAGGUAACGGCU
rnacentral:rRNA from 1 species